rnacentral:misc_RNA from 1 species
UUUCCGUAGGUGAACCUGCGGAAGGAUCCUUAAUGAGUUGUCAUGGGGUUCGAUGCUGGCAGCCAAUUUUUGGAUGCAUGUGCUUGCCCUAACAAUCAUCUUCCAAACACCUGUGCACAUUUUUGAGGGAGUCUUGAGUUGGUUGCCGCUCUUGGGUGAUUUUCUCACAUUCCCUUAAAUCAUUAUACGCUAUUAACAAUGUUGAACGUGCUCUGUGCCGCAAGGCUAUUAAUAUAAUACAACUUUUAACAACGGAUCUCUUGGCUCUC